UGAAGUGGAAGAUGAAUUGAUGCACAAUAAAGUUAAGGUGACAUCAGACACUUUAUCCAGAGUGAAUGUUCAUUCGAGUUAUUGUCUCUUGUGUGUCGUUUUUGAUUCAUUUUGUGUUCAGAGAUUUCAUUUGGAGUGAAAGAUGCCGAAUGAAAGACAAAAAAUUACAAAAAAAAUGAACCGUAAUUAACCGUAUGAACAAUUUAGGUAUAUGUGAUAUCGUGAGGUUUUUCAUAUAUUAGUAAUCUACACAGGACAUGUCAUUGGAAUGUUUUAAUGAGUAAGGGAGCACAGUUCUAUUACUUUUAUGGGUUAUCCGAUGUACCUGGACAGAAAUCUUAUUUUUGAAUGGUGUGAAAAUAUCACAGCCAAUCGUAGCGCGCGACCAUCCCCUAGUAGUUGCU